rnacentral:tRNA from 1 species
GGACGAUUAGCUCAAUUGGCGAGAGCAUCUGCCUUACAAGCAGGGGGUUACUGGUUCAAGUCCAGUAUCGUCCACCA